rnacentral:rRNA from 1 species
UUUUGUACAAUAAGAAAUGAGGUGUAAAAGUGUUUUGUGUUUAAUAGGAGUACAGCUUAAUUAUUAUUGAGUGGGUGCUCAGAGAAGGUGAAAAGCCUGUGUGGUUGUACUAACCUGUUGAACCGAAGCUCUAGAGAGUCUAGUUGUUUGAGAGUACAACUUAAAGAUGGUGGUAAAUUUCAUCAAAGGCUAAAUAUAUGAAGGGACUAAUAGCGAACAAGUACCAUGAGGGAAAGUUGAAAAGAACUCUGACGAGAGAGUUCAACAGUACGUGAAACCAUAGUGAGUAAAACAGAUAACUGUGCUGUAAAGUGGUGUGCCUAUCAACAGGGUAGUUGGUUGUGUGAUGCCUUGAGCGUAAGUUGUCCAUUCAACCGACUGCUCUUGGUUAGCCCUGCCAGAGACUCUGUGCACUAGUGCACACUCAUUCAUUGAGUAACUAUGCCGCUGCGGCAUCGAUAUGGGACAGCUCGUACGUAGUGCGAUGUUCUGUGUUGGGCGUCAUCUAGCCGGUGUAGUUUAGCUGUGGGACAGCUACGGCCUGCGUUUACUAAAUGUAACUGCUGUAUCUGCGAUUUGGUUUAUUCCUUGUUGCGGUGAGCAUGUUACUCUAGGUAAGCAGUCCGCCAUCAAUGGUUAGCAUUAGUUAUUUGACCCGUCUUGAAACACGGACCAAGGAGUUCAAAUGGCACGCGAGUCAUUGGGUCUUAACACCCGAAGGCGAAGUGAAAUGCAAAGGUAUUGUUAUUUGUGGUUGUACCAUGAUUAAGCGAUGAGCUACUUAUGCUUUCUGGCAUUUGUAGACUACAAGCGUGAUGUUUGAGACCCGAAAGAUGGUGACCUAUGCCUAGUCAAGAUGAAGCCAGAGGAAACUCUGGUGGAUGUCUGAAGUUAUUCUGACGUGCAAAUCGAUAAUCUGAUCUGGGUAUAGGGGCGAAAGACUAAUCGAACCAUCUAGUAGCUGGUUCCUUCCGAAGUUUCCCUCAGGAUAGCUAGCGUACACGUUUAGUUUCAUCCCGUAAAGCGAAUGAUUAGAGGUAUUGGGGCGUAUAUAGCCUCAACCUAUUCUCAAACUUUUAAUGGGUGUGAGUGUUNUUUCUCGAUUGAAGAACACUGCUAAAUAAGUAUGCUUAGUGGGCCAUUUUUGGUAAGCAGAACUGGCGCUGUGGGUUGAACCAAUUGUUGGGUUAAAGUGCCAAAAGCUGAAAUGCGCAUGAGAUCUAUAAAGGGUGUUAGUUGCUGAAGACAGCAG